UUUUAUUAAAAACCCUAGCAGUCAUAAGGAAGGCUGACAGUAUAGUAAAGUUAUUAUGCACCUGCACAAGUAAUAUAUGUAUUGCCUCUUUCAGUAUAUUAGCUUUGUGCUGCUGCCAGUUGUUAAGGCAUUUUGGAAAGUAAAAAUAUGUGUGGAAAAGUCCAUUAGCAGCUUUAAACCAGUGAUGCUAUGCACCUCGUGAGACAGAAAUUUCAUCACCUCUAGAGACCAAAGGGGACCUAGCAUCCUCCCUGGAAGAAAAGCUUCCUCAGGGAGUACCUGGCUGCUUCACCACUAUGGCAAGCAGCCCCCUCCCCUUCUCCUUUGCAUCUCAGCCUCGUUUCCAGACUGGAUUGGGGCCAGAUGGACUGUGGGCAGGUGUGCAACCCUGGGGGCACCAGCACAAGGUCAAAGGAGCGUUUUGGCUGUCCUGGGGAAUGGAGCGCUACCAACGGAUCAUUAGCAGAGUUCCUUGGCUUGUAUGGAGCUUGAUUAGGAAGUUGCAGUGCUUCGAAUGUUAACCUGGAAAUGUUAACCUGGACACUGGAAAAUGGGCAAUGUGAUAAGAAGCUCCCAGGGAUAUGUGUAUGGACUAUUGUAUUACAGAUGCAUAUUGGGAGGUUAUUAUUAAGACAAAAAUCAGUUCUGUCAGUUUUUUUCUUACUCACUCUUACUAACUAUAACACUUAAUUCACUAAUGCUGGCAGAGAGAGGUGUGUAUUUAACCUGACAAGAUUCACGGUGAAUAGACGAAUAUGUUUUCAUAGUCCAUAUGCCAUUUUUCAUAGACAUAUGAAUAUGAAAAUGCAGAUAACAGUGAAGGAAUGAUGCAGCAGAAUAUGAUGUAAUAUUUCUAUUUUUAUGGACUUUGUACACUUUAAGUGAGGAUGAAUCUAUAAAGGCAGCUCAAUUUCACUGUCUAAAUCUGGCAUACAGCUUGCUAAAAGCUAUUCAAACUUAGCUCCUACGCUCCUUUUUUUUUUUUUUUUUUUUUUUUUUGUUCUUCCCACAAAAGACUUGAGCUUUCAGUCUGUUGAUAGGUGAAUGUUAUUUUUCAAAUGACUGUUUUUUUUUAGAGUAUCUAGGAAACAAAACAAUAAUGUUGGUCAGAAAAGCAAAGAGAA
rnacentral:lncRNA from 1 species